rnacentral:rRNA from 1 species
UGGGGAAUAUUGGACAAUGGGCGAAAGCCUGAUCCAGCCAUGCCGCGUGUGUGAAGAAGGUCUUCGGAUUGUAAAGCACUUUAAGUUGGGAGGAAGGGCAGUAAGCGAAUACCUUGCUGUUUUGACGUUACCGACAGAAUAAGCACCGGCUAACUCUGUGCCAGCAGCCGCGGUAAUACAGAGGGUGCAAGCGUUAAUCGGAAUUACUGGGCGUAAAGCGCGCGUAGGUGGUUCGUUAAGUUGAAUGUGAAAGCCCCGGGCUCAACCUGGGAACUGCAUCCAAAACUGGCGGGCUAGAGUAGGGCAGAGAGUGGUGGAAUUUCCUGUGUGGCGGUGAAAUGCGUAGAUAUAGGAAGGAACACCAGUGGCGAAGGCGACCACCUGGGCUCAUACUGACACUGAGGUGCGAAAGCGUGGGGAGCAAACAGG